GUGCUUGCUUCGGAAGCACAUAUGCUAAAAUUGGAACGCUACAGAGAAGAUUGGCAAUUCUAAAAUUAAAAAAAAGAGAUUAUUCCUUUUGGU
ensembl:snRNA U6 U6 spliceosomal RNA